rnacentral:tRNA from 1 species
GGAGAUGUGACUUUAUUGAUAGAGUACUUGUCUGGCAUGCAUGAAACCCUGAGUUCAAUCCCCAGCAACCCG